CUCAGUGGUUUAAAACAACACAAAUUAAUUUUUCUUUUAGUCCUGGAGGUCAGAUGUCUGAAAUCAAGGUGUCAGAAAGGCUAUGUUCCCUUCUGGAGGCCCUUGGGGGCAAUUUUUUCCCUGCCUUCUUCAGCUUUUAAAGGCUACCUGUAUCCCUUGGCUCUUGGCCCCUUUGUCCACCUUCAAGGACUUUGUGAUUACAUUGAGCCCAUCCAGAUCAUCCAGGAUCAUCUUCUCAUCUCAAGAUUCUUCACUUAAUCACAUCUGCAAAAUUCCUUUUGCUGUGUAAGCUGUGAGAUAUCAGUGGGCAAGGAUGUGACGCCU